rnacentral:rRNA from 1 species
AGUGAACGCUGGCGGUAGGCCUAACACAUGCAAGUCGAACGGCAGCACAGUAAGAGCUUGCUCUUACGGGUGGCGAGUGGCGGACGGGUGAGGAAUACAUCGGAAUCUACUUUUUCGUGGGGGAUAACGUAGGGAAACUUACGCUAAUACCGCAUACGACCUACGGGUGAAAGCAGGGGAUCUUCGUACCUUGCGCGAUUGAAUGAGCCGAUGUCGGAUUAGCUAGUUGGCGGGGUAAAGGCCCACCAAGGCGACGAUCCGUAGCUGGUCUGAGAGGAUGAUCAGCCACACUGGAACUGAGACACGGUCCAGACUCCUACGGGAGGAAGCAGUGGGGAAUAUUGGACAAUGGGCGCAAGCCUGCUCCAGCCAUACCGCGUGGGUGAAGAAGGCCUUCGGGUUGUAAAGCCCUUUUGUUGGGAAAGAAAAGCAGCAGGUUAAUACCCCGCUGUUCUGACGGUACCCAAAGAAUAAGCACCGGCUAACUUCGUG